rnacentral:tRNA from 1 species
GGGGUUGUGGCUCAGUGGUAGAGCACUUGCCUGGCAAGUGAGAGGCCCUGGGUUCAAUCUUCAGGACCCCA